GUAAACCACUUUUCUGAGUAAACUAUCCAGCCUCAGGCAUUGUAUUUCCUUAAGGCAAUGAAAAGAGUGGGCUAAUACAAUACAUUUUCUUAUGUUUAAAGAUAAACGGUUUUGAAGCAAUAAAAUGAUUAACAUUUUUUUCAUGUUAUUUUCAAAAGUAUAAGUAUAUUCCUGGGUUUGGUGCCUUAUUGCAUAGCCUUUGUUUCUGUACUGCCCUUUUCUCAGAGGUACCAUUCAGUGUUGUGGCAGAGUAACUAAACCCAUACAACCCCUUGACAAGCCAUCCUGGACUUCUAGAAUUUUGCAAAUUUAAAGCAUUUCCGUCUCUAACCUUUCAGUAAGGAAAUCACUGAAAGCAAAGUACUUUUCCAUCAAGUCUUGAAAAUAAUGAAUGAUAUGAAUUUUAGUUGAUGAGCUAUAAAAUAAUUUCUACAUGACUUAUAUAUUACAGGCGUAAUUUCUUCUCUCCACUGUGCAGUCAAGAAUGUACAUUUCAACUCCCAUUUACUCUUGGUUCUAUAUACUGGAAAAUUAACAUAUCAGAGCCCCUUGGACAUGUUGGCAUAGAACUGCAACCACUUUAAGAGAAUCAAAAAUGACAUCCAACUGCAAGUCAAGAAGAGAAAAUUCAGUGUAUUACCAGACCGGUUCCAACCCCAAUGCUGUACUCCUACUCUCCAGAAUUAAGAAGUUUCCUUUGCUUCCUUACAAAUAUGAGUUUCCACUUGUCCAUCUCAUGUCUACCCAUCAGACCAAAUGGAACUUGUCUAUAGUCUUAUACCAUAGCUAGUGCCAGAACUAUUGGACUGCCCAGUGUGAUGGCUGGUGAAGUGUGAACUCAUCAGUCUCUUAUGUAACUCUCUCACUCACAAAAAUAAACAAGCAAACUGCUAACAAGAAAUGGACCUGUGACUUAUUCAAAAUGUUUCUACAUUUGCUGAGGACGAUUCCUGGUGAAAUCAUCCCAGUAUUCUCCGAUGUUAAGAUGGCAGGGCACUAUGCCUGAGAUGACGCAGCACAGGACUCUUAAAGGCUGAGCCGGAUGGAUUGAAUAUAAAGUCAGAAGUGAGCUCUAUAGUCUUCUGGGCACCAGUCAUACACACAUAAGGGCAUAGAGAUUUUUAAUGAAUGUCAAUGCUUGCAGAAUCUACACAUGAGCUGGAAGUGGAGCUGGAUUAAAAUAGCUGUUCUCUGAAAGAAACCAAGACCUGCAGCUGGUGCUACCAGAUCAUCAAUAAUCAAGGAUGGAAAUGCUUUCAAGCAAACGUUUCAGAAUAAACAAGGAAAGAGAGAAUGAAUAAAAGAAAAUACACAGGAAAACAAAUUAAUUCUAUGUUCAAAUGAUUAUUCAAUUCAGCCUUCGCUUUGAGGACUGGGUACCAUGCCAACAAGAAAAAUGGAGGGACAUACAAAAACAAAUAACAAUAACAACAAACAUCAAAGAUUCUUUUGAUUUCAUUUUCUAAAACAUACAGCUUUUCUAUAGCGUUCUCUUUGAAGUAUCAGUGGUGAAGUGGCUCUGAGCAGAUACCUGCAAUCUGGUGCAUGCUUUUUAGUUAUUCUGUGUUUUACUUCUGUUGCACUUGGCUGCACUGUUAUCCCUCCAGGUUAAUACCUCACUGUCAAGGAUAGUGCCUCUCAGGGAAGUUCAGCCACUUCUUUCAGAAGCUCUUUCAGAUCCUACCACUCACUGUCAGAAAUUCUGGCAUCUUCUAUUGGUUUUUCAUUCCCUUUUAUGUAUCAUCUUUUAUUGUUUUUUUUCUUCUUUUUCUUUAUAUGUUUUCCCUCUCUCCUCCUGCUGUUCUUAUUAUCUUCAGUCCCACCGGUUCUCACUUGCAGCCUUCUUUGUCUUCUCUUUUUGACUGGCAGCUUCUUUGACUCCUGUACAGAAUCUCUAGGAUUCUCUGUUACCAUUUGCUUUUCUUCUAAUCAAUGUCAUCUAUGUGUAAAGCUACAAUGCUCUUUGGUUUGUCCUGUCGGCAAUUUGCCUUGUUUUGGCUGAACGAUGAACUGUGUUUUACUACAGACCUAAACUGUAGCCAUCCAUCUGUGGGCAGAUGAUUUCAUGUGCUGAGGAUGCCAAGGGACAGAAACAAAAUAAAUUAACAGUACUUCCCUAAAAGUCCUAAUAUGUUUUCAAAUAUCCUCUACAGAUUGCUUUGCUUGCUAGUAAUAACUGACAUGAGAGAAAUUGAGUAUAAAUGAAACUUAUUGUCAUUAAAGUCAUGGGCAGUGUAGGUCUGCCAUUUUUUUAAAUUAGGUAUUUUCUUCAUUUACAUUUUCCAAUG